UACGUAGGGGGCAAGCGUUGUCCGGAUUUAUUGGGCGUAAAGAGCGUGUAGGCGGCCUGAAAGGUCAGCUGUGAAAACUCGAGGCUCAACCCCGAGACGUCGGUUGAAACCAUCUGGCUAGAGUCCGGAAGAGGAGUGUGGAAUUCCCGGUGUAGCGGUGAAAUGCGCAGAUAUCGGGAAGAACACCCGUGGCGAAGGCGGCACUCUGGGACGGUACUGACGCUGAGACGCGAAAGCGUGGGGAGCGAACAGG
rnacentral:rRNA from 1 species